rnacentral:lncRNA from 1 species
CUGAGUGACCAUCACUGUGGGUAUCCACACUGUGAGGUGUGAGGUGUCCAUCACUGUGGGGUGUGGGUGUCCAUCACUGUGGGUGUCCAUCACUGUGGGGUCUGAGUGACCAUCACUGUGGGUAUCCACACUGUGAGGUGUCCAUCACUGUGGGGUGUGGGUGUCCAUCACUGUGGGUGUUCAUCACUGUGGGUGUCCAUCACUGUGAUGUCUGAGUGACCAUCACUGUGGGGUGUAGGUGUCCAUCACUGUGGGGUGUAGGUGUCCAUCACUGUGGGUGUCCAUCACCAUGGGGUGUAGGUGUCCAUCACUGUGGGGUGUAGGUAUCCUUCACUGUGGGUGUUCAUCACUGUGGGUGUCCAUCACUGUGGGUGUCCAUCACUGUGGGGUGUGAGGGUCCGUCACCACGGCGUGUGUGUGUCCAUUACUGUGGGUGUCCAUCACCGCAGAGUAUAGGUGUCCGUCACUGUGGGGUGUGGGUGUCCAUCACUGUGAGGUCUGAGUGACCAUCACUGUGGGUAUCCAUACUGUGGGGUGGGGGUGUCCAUCACUGUGGGUGUUCAUCACUGUUAGGUGGGUGGUGUCCAUCACUGUGCGAUGUAAUGGAGCCGUCACUAUGGCGAGUGUGUGACCAAAACAG